UGUGUCUUUUCGUGUAUGUCCUGUCCUCUUCUCUGCCUAUCUAUCGUCUCGUCUGGGCGAAAAAGGAUGAUCGAAUUGGGAUGACAUUUCGGAUCGAUAAUUUCCAGAUGGGGGCGAAGAUCACUUUCCAGCCAUCAUAGCUGGGCUAUGGUCAAGUCAUCCAUGGGGCACAGCUACUAAGCCGCAACGGUCAUAAUUGAAGAUUUUGAGGAAUUCUUACGCAUUUUAAACUAAUACGAGAAAAUAUCGUAACUUUUAGUGGAAUGAAGUCAUAUAUUACUAAUUAUACUCAGCCAAAACUCACUCACUUCCUGGGAAAGAUCUGCUGUGUAUCAACUGUCAUCAUCAAUGUCUAUACUACUUCCGUCGGGGGUAAAUAGGAUGAAGGCAAAUACAAAAAAUUCAUGCACUUUUAUAAAUUCCCAAAAUAAAUUCCCA